rnacentral:rRNA from 1 species
UACGAAGGGGGCUAGCGUUGUUCGGAAUUACUGGGCGUAAAGGGCGCGCAGGCGGUCUUCCAAGUCGGAUGUGAAAGCCCCGGGCUCAACCUGGGAACUGCAUUCGAGACUGGGGGACUUGAGUUCGGGAGAGGAGAGCGGAAUUCCCAGUGUAGAGGUGAAAUGCGUAGAGAUCGGGAGGAACACCCGUGGCGAAGGCGGCCAUCUGGACCAGCACUGACGCUGAGGCACGAAAGCGUGGGGAGCAAACAGG